rnacentral:lncRNA from 1 species
AUUCUCAAAUCUUUACCCUCACUUGAAGCCAUGUCUUAGAAGAGAUCUAUCAAAAAAUAUCAAGAAAAAGAGUCUUUAUGUGCUUAAAAUGUCUAAAAUAAUAUUGUACUAGCAGAAUCUCAGAAUGCCCUCUUGUGAACAAAUGAAUGUUUCUUCAUUCCAAACACUCCCAAAUCAACUUUUGAAGCUUCUUACAAGUAUGUGAACUCCAAUCAAUCUCACCAUCAAGUUCUUCCACUCAUAAAACUCACUUUCUCA